rnacentral:rRNA from 1 species
ACACUCCUACGGGAGGCAGCAGUGGGGAAUAUUGGACAAUGGGCGCAAGCCUGAUCCAGCCAUGCCGCGUGAGGGAUGAAGGCCCUAGGGUUGUAAAGCUCUUUCACCGGUGAAGAUAAUGACGGUAACCGGAGAAGAAGCCCCGGCUAACUUCGUGCCAGCAGCCGCGGUAAUACGAAGGGGGCUAGCGUUGUUCGGAUUUACUGGGCGUAAAGCGCACGUAGGCGGACUAUUAAGUCAGGGGUGAAAUCCCGGGGCUCAACCCCGGAACUGCCUUUGAUACUGGUAGUCUUGAGUGCGAGAGAGGUGAGUGGAAUUCCGAGUGUAGAGGUGAAAUUCGUAGAUAUUCGGAGGAACACCAGUGGCGAAGGCGGCUCACUGGCUCGAUACUGACGCUGAGGUGCGAAAGCGUGGGGAGCAAACAGGAUUAGAAACCCCGGUAGUCCCAUG